GACGAACGCUGGCGGCGUGCUUAACACAUGCAAGUCGAGCGGAGCGGCGAACGGGUGAGUAACGCGUGAGUAACUGCCCCCCUCUCUGGGAUAACAGUUGGAAACGGCGGCUAAUACCGGAUAGUGGGGGAUGACUCGCGUCCUAUCAGCUUUUUGGUGGGGUAGUGGCCUACCAAGGCGCCGACGGUUAGCCGGCCUGAGAGGGCGACCGGCCAAAUUGGGCUGAGAUAGGAGCCAAGCGCCAACGGGAGGCAGCAGUGGGGAAUAUGGCACAAUGGGGGAAACCGUGAUGCAGCAACGCGCGUGCGGGAUUACGGCCUGCGUGUUGUAAACCGCUUUCAGCCAUGACGCGGUAGUGGCAGAAGAAGCACCGGCUAACUACGUGCCAGCAGCCGCGGUAAUAC
rnacentral:rRNA from 1 species